rfam:Drosophila virilis strain TSC#15010-1051.87 Ctg01_17473, whole genome shotgun sequence.
UAUUUUUUACUGAUGACAACUUCAUACACAACUCAGAACAAUUAUGUUGAAAUCUGUUUAACAUGCAUCACCAUCUGAUUUUGACAA